rnacentral:lncRNA from 1 species
ACCUCAGGCCUCCACAUGUGACUUCUGCACCUCAUCUCUGGGAUGGUUUCAGUGGGUCCUAGAUUGCUUUCUGUGCUCCCUGGGACAGUUGGUGGCACUCUGUGAGACUACUCUGAGGUACCCUUACAAGCUACUCUUAAUUUUCCCCGCUGUUCUGCUUGUUGGACAUGGCAUCAUGCUGCAAUGUUAACAGUCUUUCAAAGCUAAGCGCGGAGGAUGUGAUUCCAUCCCUGGCAGUUCUUAGAUUCCCGUUGGAUUACAGAAGUGAUUUUUAAAGACACUAUUAAUAGAGGUAUUUUAUCUUGGUACAAAAUUAUUUAAAAAAUAGACUUAAACAGAGACUUCCACUUAUGGGUAUAAUAGACUAAGACCCUGUUGGAUGAUUUCUUCACCCUGCAUACAACAACUGUGAGACUGCACGUAAUCAUAUGAUAGUACUGGAGACUGAAGAGAAGAUGACAGGAUCUAAUGGGGGAGUCCAUGCUUGCUUGAAGGAGGAGAGAUAUGGAUCUGGACAUGAUGUUCCAAUUCCACGGGGCAUUCUGUUAUUGGGAUUGUCAUGGGUGAAGGGCUAAAUGCACUAUUCAGGACGACCAACCUAAAAUAAGAGAAGAGAUAGGACUGUAUAGCAUGACUAUAGGACAGAGAGGAGACUGAGAAACACAAGAAGCACCAGAGUGGUUGAAAGGAGCUGAAGGUUCAGACAGCAACCUGGACACUAAGGGUCCAAAGCCAAGCCCAAGGUCAAGUAGCUGGACAGAGAAACAGCUGCAAGCACAGACUUGGAUCCUGACCUGAUUUUCUGCAGAAGCAAGUCCCUGUUUAGCCUUCUACUGCCUCCUUUUAGAAUGAAGCCAGACCAGUCCUUUCCAUCAUGGGCUCCUGUGGAAAAUGACCCCAGCUCAGCUCAGUAGUUGAUGGGACAUCUGAUUCAGGUUGGACCCAGCCCAGACAUCUGAUUCAAACAAUAUUCUUCUCCAGGAAUUUUGUAACCAGCACUGGUAAAGGGAGGGAAGUGCUCCCCAGUGGGGAGAGCUGCAGAAUGUGAGACUUGGAAACCAAAGGCCGCCAUGUUUUCUGUCUCAUGAUGGAAUCCAAUCUUCUUUGGCGGGGAAAAUAAAUGAAGCCAACACCAGUAGGUAUAAGAGAGAGGACAACAUAUAUCAAGCAGGGGCCAUUGCUCCAGCCUGACUCCAGGAAUCAGCAGACAGCGCAGCCUCAUUCUCCACCUGCUCCCUGCAGUACAGCCUCAGAACCACACAGUUGCAGCCAACCAGCUCCUGACAUGGAACUUGAGCAACAAAUGCCCUUUGUUUUUGCAAGUCCCUGAGAUUUGGAAGUUGUUACACAGCAUUCUCUCAGCCAGAAGUGACUGACAUGGUCACUGAGAGGCUGACCCAAGGACAAAAGUUUUUUUUUUCUUUUUUCAAAAAAAACAGGAUCGCACAAAAUUUUCAGUUCGAACAACAAAAUCAGUGGUUGUAAUUUACCAUUUUCAAGGUCACCUAUAGAAGGCUGCAAUAUCUAAAGCCUCUCAGGAAAACAUGAGAACCAGCUGGAAAGGCAUUUUCCCAUGUUCCCACUAUUUUGCUAUGAUAAAUACUGUAUUUGAUUACCUUCUGUUGAAGUUUAUAAAAAGAGAUCAUUCUUUAAUGCUGAGGCCAUUUGCGGAGAGUGAUCCAGUUGGAACCAGUGAUUUCGAGAAUUCCAGACGUGAGAGACUGGAAAGCAAAUCAGAAAAAAGACAAGUGACGAAGUUUUACAGUCAGGAAACAAAAUUCUGAUCUUUUGUUCUUGUUUACUUUCUAUGGCAAUGAAGCAGAAUGCAAAAAUCGGGAUUGCUACAGGAGGCUGAGGAGAGGAAAAAGCCCUUUUCUCAUCACCAUUGAUUCCUUCAGUCUCCAUGAUUUCCUCUCAAGAACUGCCAUUUGUUGCUGUAGAUGGCCCAGUUGCAGACGUGCCUGAGUUC